CACCCUGUCUCUUCACACGGGCGCUAUUUAGUUCUUCAAUUCAGGUCGGCGAGCUCGCGCCGGCGGUGGGAUGUCUCUGCGCGCGCCAAAGGGGAGCGCCCAGUUCGCAGCGGCGGCGGCGGCAGCUGCUGGACAAGGGAGACUUUCCCACCACCGCCCUCCUUUCCGUUUCUUCUUCUUCUUCUUCGGCCCGGCCCGACACAGCCCCUGCCCCGGCCCCCCAGCGCAUCCAAACCCCUGGGAAUUCUGCAUCUUUGGUAUGCUUCUCACGCCGCGUCCAGCUCGCGGACGCCGCCGGAGGGACUUCGCUUCAGCGGGAAACGAUGAAUUGGAAGAGGCAGACGAGUGACAAAGUUGGCUCAAGGCAGUUGGUCCAGCAUCUUCUGUGUCUGCUCACAAGGAGCCGAUGAGGCAUGUUAUCAGUCCUUCAAGAUGCAAUGCAAUGGCCUCUUCUGCCAUUACAUUCUUAGAAAAAGGCACAAAUUGCAGCAAUAUGAUGAACGCGCAGUGCAAGAGAAUCUUCAAGACAGCAUGAAGUUGAAACCAGGAAAAAUGGCAAAUAUUACAUAAGGGAAAUCUGAGGUACGUCUCUACCUGCCACUAAAGGUGAGGUUGGUGUAGACUGAUGUCAGCUGAAUGAAAAACAAAUGGGCUUGCAAAACACUUUCCAUUCUCUUUUACUUCUCUACCUAUUCCUACGUUUGCCUAUGGCCAUUCACUUUGUCAAAACCUUGGCAAUAUCUGAUACCUGGAUUUUUCAUCGGCGUUUUUGAAAACUGAACGCAGCAACCAACGACAAACCAAUCUGAUAUGUAGAACAGAAUAGACACCAUUCUUGAAAAAGGGAUGUGUAACUGAGUGAAUGGAAAUUUUGAAACCAGUUGUAGUAGUGCAGAUGUUAAUGUUGUUGGGGGUUUUUGUGCGAGAAUAUAAACAUAAGAAAAGCACUGCUGGAUCAGGCCAAUGGCCCUUUGAGUCCAGCAUCUUGUUCUCAUGGAAGCCAACCAGAUGCCCAUGGGAAGUACAAAAGUACAUGGGAAGUACAUGGGAAGUACAUGAGCUCAACAUCACCCUCCUCACCUGUGAUUCCCAGCAACUGGUAGAGUCUUACACAUUGUAAUAGAAACAAAGAAACAAAGAAAAAGGGA